rnacentral:lncRNA from 1 species
UCGAGAAUACAUCGCAACCGAUUACAGGAAAAAUAAUUCAGAAAGCGGCGACCAUGCGAGGCGAUAAUCAGUUUUGAUUGAAUUAAAAUAAUCGGCGAAUCUGAAGCCGAAGAUGGUGGUAGCCAGCAAUGGAACUAUUGUUGGAGGAGUGUCGAGGACUGAGUGGAGAUGUGGCGGGCCAGCCAUUGGUGAUUGGUGGUGGCCAGAAAAGAGAAACUGACAGAGGGAUUACGACAGCAACGGCGAGAAAUCGGCGCCAAAUGGGUUUGAGGAGAAGGUUAAAGAAAGGGCAAUGGAAGGAAGGGGCGGUGGUGCCGACUUCGGCACAUCGCAGACCGACCGUACUGGAGGGAGGGGUACUGGAGGGAGGGGCAGCGGCGCUGACUUAAGGC